rnacentral:rRNA from 1 species
CUUAACCGGGGAAUGGCGCAUGAAACUGGCGAACUAGAGUACGGAAGAGGGAGGUGGAAUUCCAGGUGUAGCGGUGAAAUGCGUAGAUAUCUGGAGGAACACCGGUGGCGAAGGCGGCCUCCUGGUCCGAUACUGACGCUGAGACGCGAAAGCGUGGGUAGCAAACAGGAUUAGAUACCCUGGUAGUCCACGCUGUAAACGAUGGGCACUAGGUGUCCGGGGUAUUGACCCCCUGGGUGCCGCAGUUAACGCAUUAAGUGCCCCGCCUGGGGACUACGGUCGCAAGACUAAAACUCAAAGGAAUUGACGGGGGCCCGCACAAGCGGUGGAGCAUGUGGUUCAAUUCGACGCAACGCGAAGAACCUUACCUGGGCUAGACAACGGCGGACCGCUCCAGAGAUGGGGUUUUCCCUUCGGGGACCGC